UACCAGCACCCCGAGUGGUCGGGACGUUUAUUGGGCCUAAAGCAUCCGUAGCCGGUUCUACAAGUCUUCCGUUAAAUCCACCUGCUUAACAGAUGGGCUGCGGAAGAUACUAUAGAGCUAGGAGGCGGGAGAGGCAAGCGGUACUCGAUGGGUAGGGGUAAAAUCCGUUGAUCCAUUGAAGACCACCAGUGGCGAAGGCGGCUUGCCAGAACGCGCUCGACGGUGAGGGAUGAAAGCUGGGGGAGCAUACCGG
rnacentral:rRNA from 1 species